CCUAAAUCUCCAAAAAUUUUAACUGAAAAAUAAAUUUGACAGUGUUUGUAUUCUCAAUGUGUCAAAAUUAUUCGACCGUUAAAGUUUAUUUAACGCAUGUUUGGCGAUUGACGAAUCGGCAUAUCAGACGCGCAUGACUUUAAAAAAAUCGGUUAUGGAAUCUUAUAACUUCCUAAUGUGAUUUCAUAACCGAUUUUUUAAGGAUAUCGAUAUAUGUUGCAAAUCUGGCAAAAAUUAUUGACUAUUGAUAAGUCAGUCUCAAUUUUAGAUCAUUUUUUUGCAAUUGUGUUGUCACACCCUAUUUUUGUAAGUACAUUUUUUGAUCUAUUUUUUUCUUAACGACCAAAGACGAUUUUACCAAAAAGACAGCGGGAAAAAUCAAAUUCCCGAAUUCCUAUUUCCGGUGAAAAGUCGCUUUUUUUAUAAACCAUUUUUUUUAUUUAGAUUUAUUUAGUAAUAAACCCGCUUGUUUGGAUGUAUUUUUGAAGUUAUUCCUAUUUAUUUAUUUUUUACCAAUUUUGUAUUACUUUUUUAAUAUUGAUUUAUUUAGAGUUUAGUGUUUAUUAUAUUUUUACGUAAUGACGAAUACAGACUGGGGAAAUAAAAGGCAAGCACGUACUCAAGUUUACAACUGUAAUUUAAAUCAUCUUAAGCCUCGAUAGCUCAACGGUUGAGGAGCGGACUGAAUUCCGAAAGGUCGGCGGUUCAAACCCCACCCGUUGCACUAUUGUCGUACCCACUCCUGGUACAAGCUUUACGCUUAAUUGGAGGGGAAAGGGGAGUAUUAGUCGUGAUUAGCAUGGCUAAUAUUCUUUUUUUUAACUUUUUUUAAUCAUUUCACUAUAAGUCUGUAUACGUCAUUCACAAUAUUGUAGUAUCGAUCAUUUAUGUAGUGAAUAGGGCUUUACAAUAAUAAAUUAUAUCAUUGAUAAUAAUUUAUGUGUCUAUUCCUUGCCUAUGCGUUCGCGUAGCGUUCAUCUCAAUUGAAAUUUUGUACGGUUGUUAUUAGUACUUGCGUGAAGACCGUGUCAUUAAGCAAGGUGUUGAGUUUUUUUUAAAUGGACCGAUUUUUUUCAGUCUGCGAAUAAACUGCGUUAUUUAGACAGAGUUUGAUACGAAAAAUGUCAAAACAUUAAAUUUAUUCCUCCUUAAGUUCAGCUGCAGUUCAGUUCGAGUGCGUGGGCACCUUUAUUAUUACGCUAUUUUUCAAUAAUAUAAUUUAUUUCUGAAUUGCCCUGUUAAGUUACACGGGCUACAAAAUCGUAUUUUUUAAUUUUUUUCAGUAUUUUCAUAGUUUAUAAAAGUAAUUUUAAUGAAAACACACUGCAUUCUAGAACAUUUAAGCUUUUCGCCAGUAAAUUGCACUUUGGCCGUAAACCUAAGUAUACCUAUUUAUGUAUAAAUCAAUAAAAA